rnacentral:rRNA from 1 species
GAUGAACGCUGGCGGCGUGCCUAAUACAUGCAAGUCGAACGCACAGCGAAAGGUGCUUGCACCUUUCAAGUGAGUGGCGAACGGGUGAGUAACACGUGGACAACCUGCCUCAAGGCUGGGGAUAACAUUUGGAAACAGAUGCUAAUACCGAAUAAAACUCAGUGUCGCAUGACACAAAGUUAAAAGGCGCUUUGGCGUCACCUAGAGAUGGAUCCGCGGUGCAUUAGUUAGUUGGUGGGGUAAAGGCCUACCAAGACAAUGAUGUAUAGCCGAGUUGCGAGGCUGAUCGGCCACAUUGGGACUGAGACACGGCCCAAACUCCUACGGGAGUCUGCAGUAGGGAAUCUUCCACAAUGGGCGAAAGCCUGAUGGAGCAACGCCGCGUGUGUGAUGAAGGCUUUCGGGUCGUAAAGCACUGUUGUAUGGGAAGAACAGCUAGAAUAGGGAAUGAUUUUAGUUUGACGGUACCAUACCAGAAAGGGACGGCUAAAUACGUGCCAGCCGCCGCGGUAA